UGGAGGAGCAGCCCCAGAUGCAAGACGCC
rnacentral:piRNA from 1 species